rnacentral:lncRNA from 1 species
CACCUCGUCAUGGGAGCUGAGGAGCUCAGUGAACCUGCCUCCAGGUAUUAUGAGGAUAUCGUAGGAUAAUUCUAUAUUUAGGUCCUCGUAGUUUGCAUUGAGAGGAAAAAAGUGGCCCGGCAGUUCUGUGUAGUGCUGCAAAGGUCAAACACCAGUCAAUUGCUGUCUUCAUUGCUGGGAUAUAGAAGAGUAAUGGAUUAAGAACAUUACCUCGAAGCCCAAGUAAUCAUGAAUGGCGGUGAAGCAUUUAUCACCGGAACGCUUGCCGGGAGAGGCACAAUCAACCCUGACACCGAAGGCUUGAAGCAUAAAGAAUGGCACAAUCACUUCGUAAUCUUCCAUGUAGUCUCCGCAUAGUAUGAGAGCUGAUUUUUGCACGGUGGAAGCCAUGGUUUCUAUCACUUCACUUGAAUCUGCGAGAUUGUGCAGUCAGGAUGAAGCUAUUUAUUGGCAGGAUAGAUGAGGUUUACAUUCACGUUUAAAAUUGCCCUCAACAACUUCAUCUACUUUAGAUCGCAAACAAAAACAAUAAGACAAACCAAAGAACUGUUCUAAAAUUCUAUAUUUUAAAAUCUUUUAUCUCAACUAAAAUUAUAUAAACUUUUCUUUCCAUUUAUAGAUAGUUUUUUUGUUAUUAAACUAUAAACUUUUCCUUCAAUUUAUAAAUAGUUUUUUUUGUUAUUAAAUUUGUAGAUGGAAAGUAAGAGCAGUGCAUAGAUUUAGACUGAAAAAUUAAUUUUAAUUUAAAUUUAUUGAUUUGACUAAUGCAUGCAAAUAAAUAUAGCGACAAAAUCUAUAUUAUUUAUUUAUUUAAUUUUUUAAACUUUAUUUAUAAAUGACUAUUUUAACUAAGUUAAAUCCUUUAUAACAUGUAGAUUUUUAUUUAAAUAUCUUAUAAUUCUUUUAAACAACUCUAACGAUCACUAUUUAUUUUUCUAAAUGCCUUCGACCUCUUUUUUUUAUAAUUAUAAAUAAAUUUUACUUUUAUAAUUUAGAAAUACGAUUACUUUUCUCUAAUUUUUUAUUUUAUCUUUUUUUUUUAUAAUUACAAACAAAUUUUAUUUUCACAAUUUAAAAAUACGAUUACUUUUCUCUACUCUUCUAUUUUAUCUUUCUGUUUUGUGUUAGAUUACGUUAAAAAAAUUUAUUAUUUUAAUUUAAAUUAUUUAAAAGAGUAUUUAAUUCUGGAAUUAUCAAUUAAUCUUUAACAAUAAUAGAAGGCAACAAGAAUCCUACUUUCAAAAAUAGAAUAGAUGUGUAGUUUGUAUCAUGGUUCCUUUGUGGUCCCAGCUAAUUAUUAUUUUUUUGUCGCAAAUUGAAAGUUGUUUGAAAUAAACCAUGCAAGAAAAUGUUUCAAACAGGACCAUCAGCAGCUGUAAAGCACCUUGAAGCAACUGUAGAAGCUGAUGAGCAUCAUAGAAGGCAUCAAAAUCUACGAGGUUGCCCAUGCAUGCAACGUCGAGAGUAUUUUAACUCCUAUAUAAUAGUAUUUAACUAUUAUUUGGGCUAUCAUCUUCAACAACCAAGAAUUACAUAUACAUUAUACACAAGUCAAAAGACAAAUAUCAUAAUAAAAUAUCUAAAUUUAACCUUUAGAAAUAUAAAAAUAGCUUAAAUUAAGUUAAUUCUAUGAAUUCCAGUCAAACAUAAAUUUUAAAUCAUGAUAUAUCAAUUAAUAUAUUAAUGUUAAUAAAUCAUCAGACGGUUAUUACCUAAAUUCGAUCUAUAAUAGAUCUAAAAUAAAAAUAAUUUAUAAAAAUUACAGGUUUAUUUAAUUAGUGGGGAAUAUUAUUUGGUAAACGGCAAUAAGGAUUAAAUAAAAUAAUAAUAAAUACUAUUUUAUAAUUAGGAAAAAAAUCAGAAAAUUUAAUUAGUGGCGAAUAUUAUUUAGUAAACGAAGACAUAAAGUAUUAAAAUAAAAAAUAAAAGUAAUAAAUUUUAUAAAUUAUUGAAAUUUCAAAUCCAUCAUAUAUGUAUACGUUAGUGACUUUAACUAUGGUAGUGAAUUCAGUGAUAUGCAUAAAAAAAUCUCUUUUUUUAGUUUGAGAACUGAAUUAUUAAUAAUGAAAUUGAAUUUGAAAAUUAUAUAUUAUAUUAAAUAAAAUAAUUAAUAUGGUAGUAAUUUUAUUUAUUUUUAAAUUUUUAUAAUGGCAAUUAUAAUUAGAAAUUAAAGUAAGAUUUAUAAAUUUUAACUCGGUAUAAAAAAAUUCAAAUCGUCGAGUAUAAAGCGGCAAGAAUACGCUAUUAUGUCCCUUAUGGUGCACCCUUAGCGGCCCACUACCUGACCAUAUUUCAGCCCAAUUCUCACGCCACCACUAUAAUUACCUACUAACCUUACUACGUUUUUGGUUGCCUGUUCCUCAGAUUAUUAUUAUUAUUAUUAAAAUACUUUUUAUCUAAACUUGAUUUAUUAUAAAUUUAAAAUGUAAUUACGCUAAGUUUUUUUUAUAUUAAAAAAUAUAAAAUUUACAUAUUUAUUUAUUAGGUCCAUGAUAAAAAAAAUUUUCUUCCUAUUAUAUGCCACCAAGUUAACUUUGGAUUUCUGGCAUUCUUCAAAUCUAAUUUUAAAUUGGACUUUGAUCAGCGUUCUGUUCUAAUCUCUCUUUAUAUUUCUUUUUAAUAUAAUUUUAAUUUAUAAUUAUUAUUCAAUUCGUAAUUUAAUUUUAAUUAGAAUUAUUAAGGAAAAAUGAUUACAAAGAGUUAUUCAAAGGUAUAUUAAUUAUUUAAAUUGAAAAUUUUAAUUUAUAUUUAUUGUGUUGAUAUGCAAUAAAAAUAAAUUUAAAUAAUUUAGAAAUAACAACGAGUAUUUUUAAAUAUUGGAUUUUAUUUAAUUUUAUUAAAAAUGAAUUUAAUUAGUGUAUAAUUGAAUUUAAAAUUUAAUAUUUGUGAUGGAUUUGGAUUUUAUAUAUUAAAUAUUAAUUAUUCAAACAAUUUAUAUAUAUAAAUAAAUAGUUUAAUAUGCAUAUAUAUUUUUUGAAAAUUAUUUAAUUUUUUAUAAGCAAUAUUAAUUUAAAAUAAAAAUUAUUAAUAAAAAUGUUUUAUACAAAUUAUUAAUUAAAAUUAUAAAUUAAAUGAGUUUGCACAUUAUUUUAAUAAUAAUAAUCGAAUUUAAAAUUAAUUGAUUAAUUUAUAAAAAAAUUUAAUUGAAUUUGAGAUACAAUAUUAAUCGAAUUUAGAUAAAUAAAAUAAUAUUCAUGUAAUCUAUCCAUUUACAUCCUAAAAGAAAUUUCCCAACUUAUAAACUUUUAAUAUAAUUAUAAAAAGCCAAGAAACUUCUCAACGAUCCUCUUUCAAAGAGGAGUGAAUAUAAGAACCGUACGUAUGAUUUCAUUUGAUUCUGAAACCGUUUCAAAUGUUACAUCCUUUAUUCAACAUUGCACAAAUACAAGGGAAACCAAAGCUAGCCUUUCCCAUUUCAGAACACCACAGACAAGCCAAGGGCUCUAGUCAACUCUGUUAAAAAGGCUGGAAGAGCAGGCCAUCCACUAGCAGUCACUAGGUUGCCGUGCCUCACACACCCUUCAGACUCCACCACUUCCCCACCACCCACCUUUACAAUGGCCUUCAUUCCAUGGCUGCUUGCGCAUCUCUUUCCCUGAUUAAUCAAACAACUACUCAUUACUAAAUUCUCAAUCAACAAAUAUGUAUAAUUGGUGGCAAUUCAUUAAUCAAUUAAGUACCUUUAGAGUACCGGCAGCAGCCAGAAGCCACUUCCCUUGUCCAAUUGCUGCAACGAUCUUGCCCCUGUCAGCGAAUUCCUUGAUCAAAGAAACCACUUUCUCAUUUAUGACCAGCAACUCCGGGGACCUGCCUCCAGGCAACACCAAGCAGUCAUAGUCAUCAACGGAAAUGUCACUCCAGUUAGCGUUAACUACGAAGUUGUGGCCCCGCUUUUCGCUGCAUACUAGGGCUCCCUCGUCGUCCUGGAUGGCGGUAACGCAGCUCUCCCCCUUUUUCUUGCUUGGGCAAACUGCAUCAACCUUGCAGCCCAGACCUUGUAGAGCCCGGAAUGGUACAUUUACCUCGUAAUCUUCUACAUAAUCCUAUAAAACACAAGUUAUAUUAUGAAUUGCAAUUGUAGGCAGGCUAUUUACUGAUUUCUAUCCUACAAAAUUUUGGCUAGCUUACCGCUAACACAACCAGUACUGAAUUCAUGUGGGAUCUUGAAAUUUUGGCUCCCAUGGACUCAAGUAGAACUCUCAUAUAUUCACCGUGUCCUGGCCACCCAAUAGAACUAACAAGAUUGCCGUCCUUAAGACAAGCAGUAAUGUCAAGAACCGAUUCUACACCAGGCUGCUCCCACCAGGUGCCUCCUGCAAGCUCAAUGAUGGGUUUCAAGCUGGUAAAAGCAGUGCAUCGCUUGCCUUGGAGGAGUCCUGCUGCUGCCAACAUGAGUUGGCUAUGGCAGCUUGUGAUUAAAGGCUUCCCUGUUUCUGCAAAUCUUCUUACCAUACUGAUCACCUUGUCAUCAGCGCUGAGGAUCUCAGUAAACCUGCCUCCAGGUAUUAUGAGUGUAUCAUACGAUUCUACAGUUUCGUCCUCGUAGUUUGCGUUGAGUGUGAAGAAAUGGCCCUGUAAUUCUGUAUAUAGCUGCAAAUUUAAAACACCCAUGAAUUGGCUACCUUUGUUGUUGGGAUAUAGAAGGAUUAUGGAUUAAGAACAUUACCUCA